UACGAAGGGUGCAAGCGUUACUCGGAAUUACUGGGCGUAGAGCGUGCGUAGGUGGUUUGUUAAGUCUGCUGUGAAAGCCCCGGGCUCAACCUGGGAAUGGCAGUGGAUACUGGCAAGCUAGAGUGCGGUAGAGGGGUGUGGAAUUCCCGGUGUAGCGGUGAAAUGCGUAGAGAUCGGGAGGAACACCAGUGGCGAAGGCGGCACCCUGGACCAGCACUGACACUGAGGCACGAAAGCGUGGGGAGCAAACAGG
rnacentral:rRNA from 1 species